GCUGACCGGAGAGGAGGUGAAGGAUGCCCACGAGAAACCUGUUGUUCUAAGGGGAGCGGGUGCGGGCCCCGGCCCAAUGGCGUUGCCUGCCCGGCCCUGUGGGUGCCCUGGGCCCAGCCGAGCUUUCACGGGGGACAUGCUUUCACUUUUGUCAACAUCGUUGCUCGUACUCUUGGCUUCUCUGUUUAUUAUCCCCCUAGACUGGUGCUGUGUGGACACGCUAAGGAAACAGAAUGAGCCCCCAGCCUGAGCCUGUGGCCUGGGGCAGGAACCCUUUCACCUGGAUAACCACUGAGAGAUAAUUAUCACCACUUCCUCCACCCCUGCCCCCCAAUCUCAUGGUUGCUCUUCUUUACUUCCCUUUUGCAAAUGGGGGAGGAAGAAGAAAUGAAUCCCACACUUUUAAGGAAAAUAAUGAAGCAGGUUGAUGCUUCACGUAUUGUUUAGUAGGUAAAGUUAUCUACUCACCAAAAGAUUAGUAGAAAAGAUAAAAUCUGUUAAGGAAUGGGUUUCUAAAACAUAUAAAGAAUAUUUCAAAGUGAAAUGUUGUUUGUUUGUUUUUCCAAUCUUAAAGCCUGAAUUUUUUUGUUUUUGAGGUAGAGGUUGGGGAUUGAACCCUGGACCUUAUGUGUGGGAAGCCAGCACUCAACCACCGAGCCACAUUGGCUCCCCUAUGUUGGUUUUUUCACUUGUCUCUUUGUUGUUGUUCUUUUCAAAGGAGGCACCGGGAACCAAACCUGGGGCCUCCUAUAUGGGAAGCAGGUC
rnacentral:lncRNA from 1 species